rnacentral:lncRNA from 1 species
AUGGCCCCAGGGGUCUCUUCCAACCAUGUGUAUUAUGGUAUGUAUUUAUUAUUAUUAUUAUUAUUGGGUGGCUGUCUGUCAGGGGUGCUUGGAUUAUGUUUUGGUGCACAAAGGCAUAAGGGGGUUGGAGUAGAUGGCCCCAGGGGUCUCUUCCAACCAUGUGUAUUAUGGUAUUUUAUUAUUACUAUUAUUAUUGGGUGGCUGUCUGUCAGGGGUGCUUGGAUUAUGUUUUGGUGCACAAAGGCAAAAGGGGGUUGGAGUAGAUGGCCCCAGGGGUCUCUUCCAACAAUGAGUAUUACGGUAUUUUAUUAUUAUUAUUAUUAUUAUUAUUAUUAUUAUUAUUAUUAUUGGGUGGCUGUCUGUCAGGGGUGCUUGGAUUAUGUUUUGGUGCACAAAGGCAAAAGGGGGGUGGAGUAGAUGGCCCCAGGGGUCUCUUCCAACCAUGUGUAUUAUGGUAUUUUGUUAUUAUUACAGUAGAGUCUCACUUAUCCAACAUAAACGGGCCGGCAGAACGUUGGAUAAGCGAAUAUGUUGGAUAAUAAGGAGAGAUUAAGGAGAAGCCUAUUAAACAUCAAAUUAGGUUAUGAUUUUACAAAUUAAGCACCAAAACAUCAUGUUAGACAACAAAUUUGGCAGAAAAAGUAGUUCAAUAGACAGUAAUGCUAUGUAGUAAUUACUGUAUUUAUGAAUUUAGCACCAAAGUAUCACGAUAUAUUGAAAACAUUGACUACAAAAAUGCGUUGGAUAAUCCAGAACGUUGGAUAAGUGAGUGUUGGAUAAGUGAGACUCUACUGUAUUUGAAACACAACAAGAUGAGUCCACAGCAGACAUUCUGCUGGCUGUUGACUUGGAUCACAUGUCGGACCCUUCCCAAAUGUCUAGGACUGUGUGAUAUAUCGGUGAAUAAUGCGAGCAUAAUCCAGUAAGGUGGCCUUCUGCAGAUGGUAGUUUUGUCAGCACCAAUUGUGUUUAAGUGCAGGCCAAGGCCUUUAGGCACUGCACCCAGUGUGCCGAUCACCACUGGGACCAUCUUGACUGGCUUGUACCAGAGUCUUUGUAGUUUGAUCUUUAAAUCCUCAUAUCAUGUCAACUUUUCCAGUUGUUUCUCCUCAAUCCUGCCGUCACCUGGGAUUGCGACAUCGACAAUCCAUACUUUGUCUUUUAACACGGUCGUGAGGUCAGGAGUAUUUUGCUCCAAAACCCUUGUCUGUCUGGAUUCGGAAGUCCCAGAGUAGCUUGACAUGCUCAUUCUCUGUAACUUUUUCCAGCUUGUGAUCCCACCAGUUCUUUGUCGCAGGCAGAUGGUAUUUGUGGCACAAGUUCCAAUGAAUCAAUGGUGUUAUGCCUCUGCUUGUAGUCUGUCUGUGCGAUCUUCUUGCAGCAGCUGAGGAUGGGAUCUAUUGUUUCAUCUUCUUCCUUGCAGAGUCUACAUUUGGGAUCUGUCGUCGACUUUUCAAUUUUGGCUUUGAUGGCAUUGGUUCUAAUGGCUUGUUCGUGGGCUGCCAGAAUCAGGCCCUCCGUCUCCUUUUUCAAAGUCCCAUUUGUGAGCCACAGCCAUGUUUUUUCUUUGUCAAUUUGACUCUUGAUUUUUCCUAGGAACUGUCCGUGGAGAGCCUUCUUUUGCCAGUUUUCUCUUCUGCUCUGGAUUGUGUUUUUACGGUAUUCACUCUGUUUUUUGAACUUGAAGCAGUUUACUACUCUUGACUUCCCUCAAUGUUGGUUCUUGACUUCCUUUCCCAUCAUCUGCCAGGGCAUCUUUCUCUUCCUCUUCCGUUUGUUUCCCUUGCAAAGCCCUCUUUCCGCCUCCUGAUUUUCUGGACAGGUCAAGUCUGUCGACAUCACUGCGCGGGUGUCAUGAGUAGUGGAUUGUCAUCAGUUUUCUUGUCUUUCUGUCCAGAUCAUCUAGCUUUUCUUGUGUCCAGUUCACAAUUCCAGCCGUGUAUCUAAUGACGGGGAUAGCCCAGGUGUUGAUAGCCUUGAUAGUAUUUACGCCAUUUAAUUUGCUCUUCAAAACCUUUCUGACUCUCUGGAUAUAUUGUCUAGGCCGAACUCCAUACUGACGUCAGUGCUAAAGAUUCUGACUGUGUUGGUCAGUGAUUGGAUUUCUGUUUUUGAUUUUCCGUAAAGCUUUAGAUCAUCCAAGUGGGAAAUUUUUGGUGAAUUUCUUGCUAUUUGGUAGCCCAGGUUUGUUUUCUGUAGAAUUACUGACAGAGGGACCAUUGCAAUGAUGAACAGCAGUGGUGACAGUGAGUCGCCCUGGAAAAUUCCUCUCCUGAUGUUAACAGUUCUAUAGCUUUCGUUGCCCACAAACAACCCGGUUUUCCAUUGUUUCAUUGCUUUUUUGGUGAACUUUCUAAUAUUUUCACAAAUCCCGAUGACAUCUAGACAUUUUAUGAUCCAACAAUGUGGCAAUGAGUCAAAUGCUUUUGUGUAAUCAAUCCAAGUUGUAUAUAGGUUUGUUCUGCGGCUUUUGCAAGCCUCCACUAUCAUUUUGUCAAUCAGAAGCUGAUCUUUUGUGCCUCUACUUCUUCGUUUCGUUUCUAGAAAUGGCAGUUUCCCUUCCUUUUGUAUUUCCAUGGUGAAUUGGAUGUUUGGGUGGAUGCUGUUGAGGUGGUCCAGGAACUUGCUGAGUUCUUCUCCAUGGCUCCAAAUGGUGAAGGUGUCAUCAACAUAUCUGAACCAUAUAGUUGGCUUUUUUGAUGCUGUUUCCAGGGCUUGUUUUCAAAGUCUUCCCUGUAGAAAUUUCCUACUUCUGGACUGAGAGGGCUCCCCAUGGCCACUCCAUCUUUCUGUUCAUAGAAUUCAUUGUCCCACUGAAAGUAGCUUGUGGUGAGGCAAUGGUGAAACAGGGAGGUGAUGUCUUCUGGGAAGUUUUGAUUAGUGCGAAGGUGUCCGAUACUACGUUACCAUGUAUUGAAAAAGCAGUUCAAUACACGGUAACGUAGUGUAGUAAUUACUGCAUUUACGAAUUUAGCAAUAAAACUUUGCAAUGUAUUGAAAACAUUGACUACAAAAACAUUGACUACUAAAAGGUAGACCACUGCAUUGGAUAAUACAGAACGUUGGAUAAGCGAGACUCUACUGUAUUAUUCUCUGAAACACAAGUCGACAUUCUUCCAAAGCGUUGAGCCAUGCCCGGAAAACA